rnacentral:rRNA from 1 species
AUUGAACGCUGGCGGCAGGCCUAACACAUGCAAGUCGAGCGGAUGAAGGGAGCUUGCUCCUGGAUUCAGCGGCGGACGGGUGAGUAAUGCCUAGGAAUCUGCCUGGUAGUGGGGGAUAACGUCCGGAAACGGGCGCUAAUACCGCAUACGUCCUGAGGGAGAAAGUGGGGGAUCUUCGGACCUCACGCUAUCAGAUGAGCCUAGGUCGGAUUAGCUAGUUGGUGGGGUAAAGGCCUACCAAGGCGACGAUCCGUAACUGGUCUGAGAGGAUGAUCAGUCACACUGGAACUGAGACACGGUCCAGACUCCUACGGGAGGCAGCAGUGGGGAAUAUUGGACAAUGGGCGAAAGCCUGAUCCAGCCAUGCCGCGUGUGUGAAGAAGGUCUUCGGAUUGUAAAGCACUUUAAGUUGGGAGGAAGGGCAGUAAGUUAAUACCUUGCUGUUUUGACGUUACCAACAGAAUAAGCACCGGCGAACUCGUG